rnacentral:rRNA from 1 species
AACAAUUGCUAAAACUCUAUAUGCCGUGAGGUGAGAAAAUUAUAUUUGCCUAAAGAGGAGCUCGCGUCUGAUUAGCUAGUUGGUGGCGUAAAGGCCUACCAAGGCGACGAUCAGUAGCUGGUCUGAGUGGACGACCAGCCACACUGGAACUGAGACACGGUCCAGACUCCUACGGGAGGCAGCAGUUAGGAAUUUUCUGCAAUGGGCGAAAGCCUGACAGAGCAAUACCGCGUGAGGGAUGAAGGCCUACGGGUUGUAUACCUCUUUUCUCAAGGAGGAAGAUCUGACGUUAGUUGAGGAAUAAGCAUCGGCUAACCCUGUGCCAGCAGCCGCGGUAAUACAGGGGAUGCAAGUGUUAUCCGGAAUUAUUGGGCGUAAAGCGUCUGGAGGUUGAUAUUUAAGUCUUUUGUUAAAUCUAUGGGCUCAACCCGAAAACUGCAAAGGAAACUAUUUAUCUUGAGUAUGGUAGAGGUAAAGGGAAUUUCCAGUGGAGCGGUGAAAUGCGUAGAUAUUGGUAAGAACACCAACAGCGAAGGCACUUUACUGCGCCAGUACUGACACUCAGAGACGAAAGCUAGGGGAGCAAACGGGGAUUAGAUACCCCGGGUAGUCCUAGCUGUAAACGUUGGAUACUAGAUGUUGUGUGCUCUUUGGGCAUACAGUGUCGUAGCUAACGCGUUAAGUAUCCCGCCUGGGAAGUAUGCUCGCAAGAGUGAAAUUCAAAGGAGUUGACGGUGGCCCGCACAAGCGGUGGAGCAUGUGGUUUAAUUCGAUGCAACACGAAGAACCUUACAAGGACUUGACAUGAAGAGAAGUUUUC